CUGCAACACAGCUGUACUUAUUCUUGUACUAUCAAUGGGAAUAUGGCACAGAGGCAUGGAAAGGCAGUUGUGGUUAAGGGGAUGGACUGGAAGCUGGGACUUCACAUGGCAGUUACAGUUGGGAUGAGUGGAGAGUAACUGAAAUUAAACGUGGAGGGGCUUUACCAAGGAAAUCAUCAGCCUGCUGUUAGACAGAGGUGGGCUAGGAGAUGUCAGCCCAGAGUUACAGUUGCAUCUUGCUCCGGCUGCCAAAGACAGGAGCAGUUAGGGCAGUUGGGGAUGGGUGCAAAGAUGCCCCAGGUUGCCACUGGCGACACCGUUAUGAAGUCACUCCAGGGUUCCGGCCGUGGCAACGAGCCCACCAAGAGCAACAAACGCCUCUGCGCAGUGCUCCUGCUCUUGCCAGGCUCUGCAAGUUGACAGAGCUGACCAACAGCCGGCUUUGCUGCUGCCGAGAGUGGCAGACAGCCUGCAGGGCACAAGGAACAAGAGGCAUCUCGAAACAGAGGCUUUGGGAAAGCCGUCCGUUGGGCGAUGUUUGCCUGGAGGGCAGAAGACUUCUCAGCCCAGCCAAGGGCACAGAGAGCCAUCCCCCAGCCUGUGCCAGCCUUCCAGCUGCAAGAGACUGCUCACGGCACUGAUGGC
rnacentral:lncRNA from 1 species